AGAACGAACGCUGGCGGCAGGCCUAACACAUGCAAGUCGAACGCGAUCUUCGGAUCGAGUGGCGCACGGGUGAGUAACGCGUGGGAAUCUGCCCUGUGGUACGGAAUAACAUCGGGAAACUGGUGCUAAUACCGUAUAUCCCCUGAGGGGGAAAGAUUUAUCGCCAUGGGAGGAGCCCGCGUAGGAUUAGCUAGUUGGUGAGGUAACGGCUCACCAAGGCGACGAUCCUUAGCUGGUCUGAGAGGAUGAUCAGCCACACUGGGACUGAGAUACGGCCCAGACUCCUACGGGAGGCAGCAGUGGGGAAUAUUGGACAAUGGGGGAAACCCUGAUCCAGCCAUGCCGCGUGUGUGAUGAAGGCCUUCGGGUUGUAAAGCACUUUCGCACGUGACGAUGAUGACGGUAACGUGAGAAGAGCCCGCUAACUCGCGCCAGCAGCCGC
rnacentral:rRNA from 1 species